CCCUGGUGGCUCAGAGGGUAAAGCGUCUGUCUGUGAUGCAGGAGACCCGGGUUCGAUCCCUGGGUCAGGGA
rnacentral:tRNA from 1 species